UUCACGCCGGAUCUAACGGUAUGUCUCCUGUCCUGGGCUUAAGAAACACCCUGUAUAACUCGACAAGGUACACUGAUCAAGUGUAGUUUAAAUUUAAACCUUAGUGCAGUUUUCGAUAAUAGAUAUCUAGUCCGCAAAUACUGUGGUUCGUAAUCUCGAGUGAUAUGUCAUGAAUAAACGUAUACCGCUAUAUGUUCCUAUUACUAUAUACAGGGUGUUCCGAAUUUACCUGACCAACCUGAGUUUUCUUCCCUCGUUUUUGUUUCUCGGUGACUAUGGGCAGACUGAAGCCAGGCGAAGCCAUGGCUAUUAGAUGUUACGCACUAAUUGACAACUACAACAUCCUAUGACAAUAUAGGAAAUAUUAAGAUUUGUCGCAGUAAGUAGAUUCGAAAUCUGUUAUCUACAAAUACUAUGAGAUAGGUUUCAACGUCCUUCCUUCCUUCCUUCCCUUUCCUUAUGGCAGCCUAGAUUUCCCAUUCGAUGGGAAAUCGUUUGAUGCCCAUAAAUAUGCCAAUUAAAAUGUGUGAUAAAACGCAGCUUGGUGAAAAAAAUGGAAAAAUCGUAUUUGACGUAUUGCGGAUAAUUCCGAUGAUAUCGAAUGCUGAAUGCGCCAUACUCUUUAUAGUACUGUAUUCUGAUUGGAUAGUCGGAACACAAGAUAUUUUUCUACUCAUCUCUUUCUCAUCAUGGACAGUAUCUUAUUAUUCAAUGCCCCACUCUUUUGAGAAUAUGAGAUAGAACAUUUUUCAUAAAAUGGCGGCAAAUAGCAAACAAAUUAUGUGCAUUUAAUUUACAUCUAAUUAAAAAUGAAUAAUUGCAAUAUAUAUUUACAAACAAAAAUGGUAAUACUUGAAAGACAACUAAGGGACAGUUCCACAAUCACGAUUUAUUUUUUAAACUCGGUUUAUCUUCGAAAUAGAAGUAUCUAAUUUCAUAAGCGAGAAGUUAAACCGUAUUUAAAAAAUAAACCGUGAUUGUGGAACCAGCAGUUAAUAGUAAACAAUUUCGAGGAAGACUUUCAGCAGUCACACGUCCCUGGAUUAGAUACCAUCUACCAAUAGAAUUUUUAGAAAGAGAUAAAGAAUAGAAUACUUCCACUGUGAAAUAUACGUUUGCAUGUUGAAAGGUGUGUAUACUACAAUAAAAAUAUGCUGUGCCGGUGUGUGCCAAGUGUUUUCUAUCUACCUUUGUUUGAUUAUCUGUCUGUCUCUACUGCGAACUACGCAUCGCAUGAGCCUUAACAACUUCCAAAAGAUGAUCCAGACUAAUAUAAAAAAUUUGGAAAAUACUCACGCCACCGUACUGUUCCUUCUUGAACUGAAAUUGUUCAUGAAGGUCACCGAAGUUAACAGCAUCCGUAGGCGAUCCGAUAUUAUCCUUAGCAUCAGCACC